GAUGAACGCUGGCGGCGUGCCUAAUACAUGCAAGUCGAGCGAACAGACGAGGAGCUUGCUCCUCUGACGUUAGCGGCGGACGGGUGAGUAACACGUGGAUAACCUACCUAUAAGACUGGGAUAACUUCGGGAAACCGGAGCUAAUACCGGGUAAUAUAUUGAACCUCAUGGUUCAAUAGUGAAAGACGGUUUUGCUGUCACUUAUAGAUGGAUCCGCGCCGCAUUAGCUAGUUGGUAAGGUAACGGCUUACCAAGGCAACGAUGCGUAGCCGCCCUGAGAGGGGGCUGGGCCACACUGGAACGGAGACACGGUCGACACGACUACGGGGGGCAGCAGCAGGGAAUCUUCCGGCACGGGCGAAAGACUGCCGGAGCAACGCCGCGGGAGUGAUGAAGGUCUUCUGAUCGUAAAAAUCUGCUAUUAGGGAAGAACAAAUGUGUAAGUAACUAUGCACGUCUUGACGGUACCUAAUCAGAAAGCCACGGCUAACUACGUG
rnacentral:rRNA from 1 species